AUUACCGAGAGACUGAGGUCUAACCGGCCUCGACUCUUCAUCCGUGAUAAGUCAACGCUGUUGCUUUGGCUGGCUUCAGUCAGCCGAAGAAUGAACUAAAUUCUUUUAUAUUUGCAGUCGGAGUAAUCAUUUAAUAGUUAAAACUUUCAACAACGGAUCUCUUGGUUCUGGCAUCGAUGAAGAACGCAGCGAAAUGCGAUAAGUAAUGUGAAUUGCAGAAUUCCGUGAAUCAUCGAAUCUUUGAACGCACAUUGCGCCCUUUGGUAUUCCGAAGGGCAUGCCUGUUCGAGCGUCAUUGCAACCCUCAAGCAUUGCUUGGUAUUGGUUAUCGUCCUCAGACGUAGCCGAAAUUCCGUGGCGGUCCAGCGAGACUUCAAGCGAUCAAGAUUUCAUAUCCCGCUUUGCAAGCACCUCGCAGGUUCAGCCAGUUAAAAAAUUUUUCACGAUUGAC
rnacentral:rRNA from 1 species